UAAGGAAUAUUGGUCAAUGGACGCAAGUCUGAACCAGCCAUGCCGCGUGGAGGAUGAAGGUCCUCUGGAUUGUAAACUUCUUUUAUCUGGGACGAAACACUUCUUUUCUAAGAGGCCUGACGGUACUAGAUGAAUAAGCACCGGCUAACUCCGUGCCAGCAGCCGCGGUAAUACGGAGGGUGCAAGCGUUAUCCGGAUUCACUGGGUUUAAAGGGUGCGUAGGUGGGUAUGUAAGUCAGUGGUGAAAUCCCCGAGCUUAACUUGGGAACUGCCAUUGAUACUAUAUAUAUUGAAUACCGUAGAGGUAAGCGGAAUAUGUCAUGUAGCGGUGAAAUGCUUAGAUAUGACAUGGAACACCAAUUGCGAAGGCAGCUUACUAUGCGGUGAUUGACACUGAGGCACGAAAGCGUGGGUAGCAAACA
rnacentral:rRNA from 1 species